CCAUGCUACUACUCCCAGCCACUCAAACCACCUACCCCCUAGUCAUCCCACCACUUCGGCCUUACAGAUCUGGCAUUGCGCACUUCUCCUCACUUCUCCUCUCCUCUCAGAUCUUCAUUUCUUCUCCCCUUCCCCUGUCCCCUGCAAUAUACAACAGUUACUUAGCAGCCUCAUCUUCCCCUUCCUAAACGAAUCCCCCUAUUGCAUCGCAGGCCUCCUCAUCCAAGAUGCCUAGUGAUCUGCCCAUCGGUUCAAGAUUGCUAAGAUUUGCAGACCCCCUCCAGCCCCUUGACCAAGCGCAAUAGAAAGUGUGACAAGUUCAGAGACUGUUAUUUCUUCAGUUACAUCGUGAAGUCUCAGUAUGCUUCGCACAUCUUUGAUUUCACUAUGGCUUGGGGCACCUUCAGAAAUUGGAAUCGUUAUUGAACCACCCAUUCUCUUCCCAGUUAUGUUUGCUACCGCAGUUUCUGUAAUAUGAACUAUGUCACAAUCAUCUACGCCAAUUCUCAUAGCACGGUCAUCAAGCAUGACAUUAAGCAUUAACCAAGCUGAAUGAUUAAGAUAGUUCAAGAUACAUUUUUUGCAGAUCCGAUGCUGUGAAUCUGCCCCGUCCCUUCGAAAUGUUACCAACACCACUGAACGCUCCUUUUGUGCUUGCACACUCUUCUAUUGGAUAUGAGUCCUUAGCAACAUCUAUCGGGCUACUGCUACUCAAUACAUCACCACGGAAUAACUCUCUCUUAUCGUCUUCUUCUUUAGAUCUGCCAGUUUCUAGCACAACCUGAACAGUAUUUCUCCAAAGAUUACUCAUGUGACCGGGCUACAUUUCAAAGCAUAUCUAACAUACAAAUGGAGAAUAUGUUACCUUA